GUUCCUUCGAUCUUCGUCACCCCAUUUUCCCCACCGAUACUCCGCCCAUAUUUACAAUCGCGAAACCCUAAUUCCCAUCAAUCAUUUCCAUCUCUAGUUGAGCUAGAUUGAAGGCGGAGUUAGUUCAGGAGUUCGUUCAUUCAAUUCCGUCGUCGAGGCGUAGAUUCCAGUGUGUAGUUGACAAUGGCGCGUAGAAGCAACCACGCUCUUGAUUUCACCCCCAAAUACAGAUAUUGGUGAUGCUCCAUCAACAACAAGAUCAUGCACUAGGCCAAGGAAGAAAAAAACAUCAACUUAGGCUACCACUAUUGCUCGUUCAAAAGCGAAAACCCGCACCAAUCCAAGGAAAAAAAUAGCUUCAAUUAAAUUAACAUAAAGCCGAACAAUAGAAAAAUGAGGGCAAUAACCCCCAUAUUAAGGAAUAUUAAACUGCUAUGCUGUUUAACAUAGCCAACGUGCACCGGCAGACGUUUUUUGUUCUAGCGUUUCAUCCUUUUAACUUAUUCUUCCAAUAUA